rnacentral:rRNA from 1 species
UACGUAGGGGGCAAGCGUUGUCCGGAAUCAUUGGGCGUAAAGAGCGUGUAGGCGGCCAGAUAAGUCCGCUGUGAAACCUCGAGGCUCAACUUCGAGCUGUCGGUGGAAACUGUCUGGCUAGAGUCCGGAAGAGGAGAAUGGAAUUCCUGGUGUAGCGGUGAAAUGCGCAGAUAUCAGGAAGAACACCCGUGGCGAAGGCGGUUCGCUGGGACGUGACUGACGCUGAGACGCGAAAGCGUGGGGAGCAAACAGG